AUGAUCAACUGCUCCGUGAAUGUCAAUGAGUUUCCAUUAUAUUCUUCAUUGAUUAACCUAUCUUUCUCUCCCUCAAGCUACCAUGCCAAAUCUUACAUCCAUGAUCUUUAUAUACGGAUUUGUGAAUCUUGUGACAAGGCCAGAACCUAUAUAUACAUAAAUAUGGAUGUAUAUAUAUAUUUCCUGAAAAAUCACUUGCUAUCCUUUGGGGAGCUGCAGAUGUACGAGACUUUGAAGAAUACAGAAAUGCUGGCAGCUUUAUUGGUGGAGUACAUGCAAAUAUUAUGUGAUACACUUGGUGCCCGCCUUAAAAUAGACGGUGACUUGCUUCAGCCCUCCAAUUUAUUGAACUGGUGGUAUAUCUUAUCUGAUGCAUGCAAUGGUAGUAACAAUGUGCUAUCGUGCAGGGUUUUCUUUUAUGUUGCUAUAUGA
rnacentral:rRNA from 1 species